rnacentral:rRNA from 1 species
ACGGAAGGCAGCAGUGGGGAAUAUUGCACAAUGGGCGAAAGCCUGAUGCAGCGACGCCGCGUGAGUGAAGAAGUAUUUCGGUAUGUAAAGCUCUAUCAGCAGGGAAGAAAAAUGACGGUACCUGACUAAGAAGCACCGGCUAAAUACGUGCCAGCAGCCGCGGUAAUACGUAUGGUGCAAGCGUUAUCCGGAUUUACUGGGUGUAAAGGGAGCGCAGGCGGUACGGCAAGUCUGAUGUGAAAGCCCGGAGCUCAACCCCGGUACUGCAUUGGAAACUGUCGAACUAGAGUGUCGGAGGGGUAAGCGGAAUUCCUAGUGUAGCGGUGAAAUGCGUAGAUAUUAGGAGGAACACCAGUGGCGAAGGCGGCUUACUGGACGAUAACUGACGCUGAGGCUCGAAAGCGUGGGGAGCAAACAGGAUUAGAUACCCUGGUA